GGACUCCACCAUACAAGAACCUAGUAACAUACAAGAAAAUGUGGACUGUCUAUUAUCGUAUUGUUUCGGUCUACGCAGUCUUCACCCUGUCCUUUCAGCAACUCAAAGAAGUACACAUAUCUGCCCUGCUGUCGAAUAAAAUCAUCAAGGAAACGCCGCAGACUAAAACAACACACCAGAACUAGCACCAUAACCUCACUGGACUCUCAGCCCAAGCCAGUUAGCAGUACACAUGUCAUGCCUUCGACACAGCUGUCCCCAUGCUCAUUUCCAUCUCUCACAAUGCAUAACUCCUCACAAUUGAUUCCUUCAUUUCCUAAUUUAAAAAUUGCACAGUCAUAUCCCUUGAAUCCACAAUCAUCAAUUUCAGCAUGUUCAAACUCAGAUCCUUUAAUUUCACAAUCAACAGUCGCCGAAUUAUCAAACUCAACUUUUCCCAACACUCCUUUGUCGAGCCCACCUCUCUCAAAUCUUGAUGAUUUACAUGGCAUGGAAAACGACAUUUUCCUUGACACUACUUUUGUUGCUCAAUUCGUUCCAUUGAAAUCGUCACCAAUUGUGGAGAUGUCUGGGAAUGACACGUCAAUCUGUCUUGCUACUCUGUCCGGAGAUUCUUCACAGAUAAGGCAAAGGGACGAUUCUGGUUACCAGGCUCAAUACUCUCAUUAUUA